UAGAAAAGGAGAAAGGGCUUUUUUAUAGAUGUUGAGGUUGAGUAAGGGGGGCGGAGCUUGAAGAGCGAAGCGAGCCGCGCUAGCCUAGCAACGUUUUUCAGCAGCAAGCUACGGUCUAACGACCCCCUAACCUAGGUUGGGGCGAAANAGGCCUUUUUAUAGAUGUCGAGGUUGCGUAAGGGGGUGGAGCUUGAAGAGCGAAGAGAGCCGCGGUAGCCUAGCAACAUUUUUCAGCAGCAAGCUACGGUUUAACGACCCCCUAACCUAGGUUGGGGCAAAAACUCCAAAAUCCAAAAUGUUGGUUAGGGUUCCAAACCUUUCUCUAAUAAUAAGGUAAACAUUCAAGUCGCUGCCCUUUAAAGGAGCGGGCGCAGUGAACUGUAAUUAUGAAAAGAUUACAAGAUCUGGCCAAAGAAGGUGAUAGCCCUGUAGAUUCGUUCCCAUGGUUCCCUCCUUCCCCGUAAAAUGUGGCGUGUUCGAAUUCUGAUCGCUUUUACACGAGAAAGGGGGACCAUCCUCUAAGCCUAAGUAUUCCUCAAUGACCGAUAGCGUAGAAGUACCGUGAGGGAAUGGUGAAAAGAACCCUAUUUAGGGAGUGCAAUAGAGAACCUGAGAUCCGAUGCGAACAAUAAGUUGAAGGAACAGAUCUUAGAGCCUUUACUUUAUGUAAAGCGCACUCACUCUAACAGCGUACCUUUUGCAUGAUGUGUGAGUGAGAAAAUGGGAACAACGGCUAAAGCCAUUGGGUGUAGGCUCUUUCCAGUAGUGGAAUCUUCUAGUUCUUCCUAUUUGACUCAAAACUGAUCGAUCUAGCCAUGUGCAGGUUGAAGAGAGCUCUAACAUGCCUUAGAGGACCGAACCCACGUAUGUGAAAAAAUACGAGGACGACUUGUGGCUAGGGGUGAAAGGCCAACCAAGAGCGGAUAUAGCUGGUUUUCCGCAAAAUCUAUUUCAGUAGAGUAUAUGAUGUCGAUGGCUCGAGGUAGAGCACUCAAUGGGCUAGGGUGGCCUCAUUUCGCCUUACCAACCACAGGGAAAUUCCGAAUACAAACCUAGAUCGUUUGUACAGACAAACAUUUUGGGUGCUAAGAUCCAUAGUCGAGAGGGAAAUAGGCCAGAUCGUAUGCUAAGGUCCCUAAUCUAUCACAUAGUGGAAAAGGAAGUGAUCGAGCGAUGAGAACCAGGAGGUGGGCUUGGAGGCAGCCAUCCUUUGAAGAAAGCAUAAUAGCUCACUAGUCUAGCUCCAUGGCACCAAAAAUGUAUCAGGGCUCAAGUGAUUCACCGAAGCGAUGAGACAUUGAAAGCUGCUUUUUCAAGUAUUAGUAGCGGAACGUUCUGUCAAUCGGGGAAGGUUUUAGGUGACAGGACCUAGAGAUAUCAUAAGUGAGAACGCUGACAUGAGUAUCAAAAAAUCCAUUGAAAAACACGAUCGCCUGCCAGUGGAAAGUUUUCUAUAUUCAGUCAAUCUGCAGAGUGAAUCGGUCCCUAAGGAACUCCCGAAAAGGCUGCCGUCCGACGGGUACACAAAAGUGACGAAGUUGCUUUGACUACAGAACCAUGCCUGUCUGUUGGAGCGAAUUGGAUAAUCGGGUGGAGGGCUUCCCCCUCUUCCCCUAACUCUCCUUUCCCUAAUAUGAACUUUGAUUCAUCAAAGCCUUUCUAACUCGUCCUAGCCCGGUCGCCCUACGCGACUGCCGCUUCUAAAGGCAAAACUCUUGGUUGUAGAUUGGCGACAUAUCUUCAGUAGGGUCCUUUAGUCUUUUGAUUAGAGUAGGGGUUACGAGAGAGCAGAGCGUACCGCCGUGCCAUAGUCACGAGUCUGUUUACAUUCACGACUGUUGUCAUAGUCAACAAGGUUGAAACUUCUAGGAAGAAACUUCGAAUUGGGAGGCGAUCCUCCCGGUGAACUGACCAUACCCCAAACCAACACAGGUGAACAAGUAGAGUAUACUAGGGUGCUUGAGAGAACCAUGUCAAAGAGACUUGGCAAAAUGAACCCGUAACUUCAGGAGAAGGGGUGCUCUCCUAUCUUUUGAUUAGGAAAGCAGCACAUAGUAGAGGGUAGCGACUGUUUAUUAAAACAAAGGACUCUAAUAAGUGGUAACAUGAUAUAUAGAGCCUGACACUUGCCUGGUGCUGGAAGGUUGGAAGGAGAAGUGUUAUAAGCUUUGAAUGGAAGCCCCGGUAAACGGCGGCAGUAACUCUCACUGUCCUAAGGUAGCGAAAUUCCUUGUCGCAUAAGUAGCAACCUGCACGAAUGGUGUAACAACUACCCCGCUGUCUCCGACAUGGACACGGUGAAAUUGAAUUCUCCGUAAAGAUGCGGAGUACCAACGGCUAUAUGGUAAGACCCGAUGCACCUUAACUAUAGUUUCGUAAUGACAACCUUAAUCCAAUGUGUAGGAUAGGUGGGAGGUGGUGACACAUAACGACCAAUCCUGAAAGACCACUCUUUCGUCUAAGGAUGCCUAACCGCCGCACCGAUAAUUUAGGUGGAGGAGGGACACUGCGAGGUGGGUAGUUUAUCGGGGGUGGAUGCCUCCUAAAGAGUAACGGUGGUAUGCAAAGGUAGGCUCAAGCUAAAAUUCUACUCGUGAGCGUAAUGGUAUAAGCCUGCCUGACUGUGAGACUGUGAGACCGACUGGUCGAACAGAGACGAAAGUCGGCCAUAGUGAUCUGGCAGUCCCGUGUGGAAGGGCUCUCGCUCAACGGAUCAAAGGUACGCUGUGGAUAACAGGCUGAUGACUCCUAAUAGCUCUUAUCGAUGGAUUCGUUUGGGCCCUCGAUGUCAACUCAUCACAUCCUGGGGUUGAAAAAGGUCCCAAGGGUUCGGUUGUUCGCCGAUUGAAGUGGUACGUGAGUUGGGUUUAGAACGGUGUGAGACAGUUCGGUUCCUAUCUACUGUUGGUGUUAAAGGGAGAACUGUGAGGAGCCAACCCUAGUAUGAGAGGUCUGGGUUGGGCUAACCUAUGGUGUACCGGUUGUUAUGCCAAUAACAGUGCCGAGUAGCUAAGUUGGUAUGGAAGUACUGCUACGCUGCGGGAAAUCCGUCUCUAUACAAGUUCUCGAACGAGGAUUUUUUUUAACAGAACUUCUAUAGGAGAGAGGUGUAAGCACCGCGAGGUGUGAAGCGAUCUUGUACUAAAUGAAAUGACAUUCACUUUC
rnacentral:rRNA from 1 species